rnacentral:rRNA from 1 species
AUUGAACGCUGGCGGCAGGCCUAACACAUGCAAGUCGAGCGGAUCGGCAGUGGGGUGAGUAAUGCUUAGGACUCUGCCAGUUAGUGGGGGAGGACGUUCAGUAACGGGCGCUAAUGCUGCUUCCUCUUAGAUUCGCCUAGGUCGGAUUAGCUAGUGGGUGGGGUAAAGGCCUACCAAGGCGACGAUCCGUAACUGGUCUGAGAGGAUGAUCAGUCACACUGGAACUGAGACACGGUCCAGACUCCUACGGGAGGCAGCAGUGGGGAAUAUUGGACAAUGGGCGAAAGCCUGAUGCAGCCAUGCCGCGUGUGUGAAGAAGGUCUUCGGAUUGUAAAGCACUUUAAGUUGGGAGGCGUUACCAACAGAAUAAGCACCGGCUAACUUCGUGCCAGCAGCCGCGGUAAUAC